rnacentral:rRNA from 1 species
GUUGGUGGUUAUAGCGGAAAGGGUCCACCCGAUCCCAUUUCGAACUCGGAAGUUAAGCUUUCCAGCGCCGAUGGUACUACGACGGAGACGUCGUGGGAGAGUAGGUCGCUGCCAACU